rnacentral:tRNA from 1 species
AGGGUAUAACUAAGGUGAGGAGUGCAUGCCUAGCAUGCAUGAGGGCCUGGGUUCAAUCCCUAGUACUUCUA